AGCCAGUGAUGAUUAAUAAAUAUUUUCUGACACCUCGUAUGAGAGCUGUUGGCUCCUGAUUCUAACUUUUUUUUUUUACCUGAGGCUA